rnacentral:lncRNA from 1 species
CCCCCAUCCAACCUGACAGAGCUUGAGAGGACCUGCAGAGAAGAAUGAGAGAAACUCCCCAAAUACAGGUGUGCCAGGCUUGUAGCGUCAUACCCGACUUGAGGCUGUAAUCGCUGCCAAAUAUUCAGAGUAAAGGGUCUGAAUGCUUAUGUAAAUUUGAUAUUGCUGUUUUUUAUUUGUAAUGAAUUUGCAAAACAUUCUUAAAACCAGUUUUUGCUUCGUCAUUAUGGGGUAUUGUGUGUAGAUUGAUGAAGGAAAAAAAACGAUUUAAUCCAUUUUAGAAUAAGGCUGUAAAGUAACAAACACUGUAUUUGUGUUUCUCAUACACACUUUUACCUCCUCUCAGUAACAGUGGUGAAGUGUCAAUGGAUAGCCAGGCUGAGAUGGACUCUGACCAGCCGUCAGACGAUGCCAGUCUUUCUUCCACAAGCCAGGAGCCCACCUCCAGCUCGGCCGCAGUGUCAAGCCCAAGCCCUCCGGCCGCCCCAUAGCCCAGCACUCUCUGCCCAUGACGACAGCAGGCAGCCGUCUCCCCAGAGGAGAUGAGCGUUCAUCCCCAUUGAUUCCUCUUCCUUUUGAAGCCACUUUUAACCCAGAACAACAUGGUAUGAGUCCAUUCAACUAAAGCAGUGGCAUUGCCACCGUACUCUUACCUUUGUUUAACUAGGCAUGUUAAAAACAUUUUUUUUUUAGCUUUGUUUAACUAGGCAAGUCAGUUAAGAACAAAUUCUUAUUUUCAAUGACGGCCUAGGAACAGUGAGUUCCCUGUUCAGGGGCAGAACGGCAGAUUUGUACCUUGUCAGCUCUGGGAUUUGAACUUGCAACCUUUCAACUGCUAGUCCAACGCUCCAACCACUAGGCUACCCUGCUGCCCUCUUACGUCAUAGAAACACACGGCACAACAAAGUAGAUGAGAAGCUUUUUUUUUUAUUAGUCUGAUAAAGCCAGAGAAAGUAAGCGACACAAAGGACACAUUGUAUACUUUUGUUUGGCAUGUCGGAUUACAUGUGACACAAGGAUGGUUGGAGCAGGGUUGCGGUCAUGCAAGAGAUAUUUAAACCCCCCUGGUGUGGUCUUAACGUGAUGUCUUGUCAAACGUUUUAGCUGAUGUUUGAGUUCAGAGAGGUAGCUAUUUCAAUGCACAUCAAAACAACAUUCAAAGAAGCUCUAGUGAGCCGAGCUUAAGAAACACAAUGGAGAGUUAUAAACUUCUUGAAGUGGCAAUUUUGGAUGAUGUCUAAUGGCUCUUCUCUUCUCACCCCUUCCAUUCAAGGUAUGGGCUUGAAGACUCCCUUUCGGUAGAGGAAACCUACCCCGCUAAUGAUGUCAUCAUGGACUGCUCCAUUCCCUUACUCCCAAGUCUCAAUCAUAGUGUCUUAGUCUAAUAAAAUAAAUCCUACCAAUUUGUGAUCGUAAGAGAGAGAGAGAGCAAUGGUUAGAUUCUUUCUUCCCAAUUUUGUAUCAGCAGAUACCAUGUGCUUUAAAAGUGUACAUUUUUAUUAAUUUAUUUUCAAGAAGAAUAAUUGUUCU